GAAUAGCUGUUGGAGGUGGAGGACAAAGAGGAGUUGGGUGUAGAAGAAGAACAAGGAAGUGGGGAGGAAGGAGGAGAACAGUAUAAUUAUCUUUUAAAGAGUGCAACUUUCAUUUAAAUAGUGCAAUUUACAUCUAUAAAAUGCAACGUUCUUUUAAAGCAGUGCAAUUUCAUUUUAACAGUACAACUUUAUUUUCUUCUUUUUUAUUUUCUAGUUUUUCUUCAUUAUUCUCUAAUUUUUGGGCUUCAGUUAAUUUUUUUUUUAAGCAAACAAAAGUACUUGAUCAGAGUGGAGGUGGAGGUGGAGGUGGAGGACGAAGAGAAGUUGGGCGUAGAUGAAGCACAAGAAAGCGGAGGGAAAGGAGGAUGAGGAGAAACAAUGUAAUUAUCUUCCAAAAGUGUAAAUUUUAUUUAAAGAGUGUAAUGUUUAUCUUAAAAGGCGCAGUUUACAUCUCAAAGAGUUGGUCAGUUUUCUAAAAAUUAGGACCGAAUCUAUAUAAUCCAAAAUGAUAAUCUAUUUUU
rnacentral:lncRNA from 1 species